rnacentral:rRNA from 1 species
GGAAAAAUGGGGGCGGCUACACAUGCAAGUCGAGCGGAAACGAGUUAACUGAACCUUCGGGGAACGUUAACGGCGUCGAGCGGCGGACGGGUGAGUAAUGCCUGGGAAAUUGCCCUGAUGUGGGGGAUAACCAUUGGAAACGAUGGCUAAUACCGCAUAAUAGCUUCGGCUCAAAGAGGGGGACCUUCGGGCCUCUCGCGUCAGGAUAUGCCCAGGUGGGAUUAGCUAGUUGGUGAGGUAAUGGCUCACCAAGGCGACGAUCCCUAGCUGGUCUGAGAGGAUGAUCAGCCACACUGGAACUGAGACACGGUCCAGACUCCUACGGGAGGCAGCAGUGGGGAAUAUUGCACAAUGGGCGCAAGCCUGAUGCAGCCAUGCCGCGUGUAUGAAGAAGGCCUUCGGGUUGUAAAGUACUUUCAGCAGUGAGGAAGGUGGGUAUGUUAAUAGCAUACACAUUUGACGUUAGCUGCAGAAGAAGCACCGGCUAACUCCGUGCCAGCAGCCGCGGUAAUACGGAGGGUGCGAGCGUUAAUCGGAAUUACUGGGCGUAAAGCGCAUGCAGGUGGUUUGUUAAGUCAGAUGUGAAAGCCCGGGGCUCAACCUCGGAAUUGCAUUUGAAACUGGCAAACUAGAGUACUGUAGAGGGGGGUAGAAUUUCAGGUGUAGCGGUGAAAUGCGUAGAGAUCUGAAGGAAUACCGGUGGCGAAGGCGGCCCCCUGGACAGAUACUGACACUCAGAUGCGAAAGCGUGGGGAGCAAACAGGAUUAGAUACCCUGGUAGUCCACGCCGUAAACGAUGUCUACUUGGAGGUUGUGGCCUUGAACCGUGGCUUUCGGAGCUAACGCGUUAAGUAGACCGCCUGGGGAAGUACGGUCGCAAAGAUUAAAACUCAAAUGGAAUUGACGGGUGCCCCGCACAAACGGUUGGAAGAAUGUGGUUUAAAUUGAAUGUAANGGGAA